GUGCUCACUUCAGCAGAACAUAUACUAAAAAAUUGGAAUGACACAGAGAAGAUUAGCAUGGCCCCUGUGCAAGGAUGACAUGCAAAUUCAUAAAGUAUUCCAUUAAAAA
rnacentral:snRNA from 1 species